rnacentral:rRNA from 1 species
GACGAAGGGGGCUAGCGUUGUUCGGAAUUACUGGGCGUAAAGCGUGUGUAGGUGGUUGUCGUAGUUGGGUGUGAAAGCCUUGAGCUCAACUCAAGAAAUGCACUCAAUACUCGGCGGCUAGAGGACCGGAGAGGAUAGUGGAAUUCCCAGUGUAGUGGUGAAAUACGUAGAGAUUGGGAAGAACACCAGUGGCGAAGGCGGCUAUCUGGACGGUUUCUGACACUAAGACACGAAAGCGUGGGGAGCAAACAGG